UACGUAGGUGGCAAGCGUUGUCCGGAUUUACUGGGCGUAAAGAGCGCGCAGGCGGUCGUUCAAGUCGCGUGUGAAAGCCCCCGGCUCAACUGGGGAGGGUCACGCGAUACUGAUCGACUGGAAGGCAGGAGAGGGUAGUGGAAUUCCCGGUGUAGUGGUGAAAUGCGUAGAUAUCGGGAGGAACACCAGUGGCGAAGGCGACUACCUGGCUGUUCUUGACGCUGAGGCGCGAAAGCAUGGGGGAGCGAACAGG
rnacentral:rRNA from 1 species